rnacentral:rRNA from 1 species
UGGGGAAUUUUGGACAAUGGGCGAAAGCCUGAUCCAGCCAUGCCGCGUGAGUGAAGAAGGCCUUCGGGUUGUAAAGCUCUUUUAGUCGGAAAGAAAGAGUUGCAAUGAAUAAUUGUGAUUUAUGACGGUACCGACAGAAAAAGCACCGGCUAACUACGUGCCAGCAGCCGCGGUAAUACGUAGGGUGCGAGCGUUAAUCGGAAUUACUGGGCGUAAAGGGUGCGCAGGCGGUCUUGUAAGUCAGAUGUGAAAGCCCCGGGCUUAACCUGGGAAUUGCGUUUGAAACUACAAGGCUAGAGUGCAGCAGAGGGGAGUGGAAUUCCAUGUGUAGCAGUGAAAUGCGUAGAGAUGUGGAAGAACACCGAUGGCGAAGGCAGCUCCCUGGGUUGACACUGACGCUCAUGCACGAAAGCGUGGGGAGCAAACA